rnacentral:lncRNA from 1 species
AUGAGGUCUAAAGACAGUAUGAACUUGUUAAUAAUUUUUCCUAUUGUCCUUUUUAGAAAUCUUACAUAUCCUUUAGCCUAAUUAUAGAUUGGCCCUGCAAGCAUGUCACUGUAUCUUUUAUGUCUUCCUGAGUCUUAGCACUUUAAAUUCUUCUAUAUCCUUCACUGUCUUUCUUACAGCACCCUAAAAGAGUAGCAUGUGAACU